UGCGCCCGUUUGUGGCGGGAAACUGGCUUCUGCUGCGCCGACGCGGCCUCUCCCGGACAUCAGUCUGGGAGGUGGAACGGAAGCCCAUGCACCUCGCUCAGACCUCACCUGGGAAUCCUUCCUCGGCUUCCGGGAAUGAAGGAUUUCAUGAGCUCUACGUGGUAAUGUGUGAAACAGAAAUCUGCAGAAGGAAGAGGAAAGUCUUGGCCCCUGGAUUUUAAGGUUCUGAAUCCAGCAGAUAUGAAGGACCAAUGAAUUUUUGGAGUUUCUGUUAAAUUAGUAUGGUAAUUUUAAGCAUCUUUAGGGAAAAGUUAAGCACUAUAAUUAGAUGGUGAUGUUUUUUGAUUCUCUGUGAUUAUUUAUUGUUUUGCUACCAUACCAAAAAACCCCACCAAAAACCUAACAGUGCAGCUUUCAUAAAUAUACUUACUAGCUAGAGUCAAUUAUGCUAGAUUUUUAUAUGAAGAGCUAGUAGUGAUAUUUUGAAUGUAAUUGAAUUCUUUGUAUAAGUACAUUCUAAGUCAUAAAUUCCAAUCUCUGAAUGCAUUUUCAAGUUUAUGUUGUAUUCUGUUCUAUUCUGUGUGAGGUGUGUCAAAUUUAGUUGUGUAGAAUCAUGAGAUACAUAUUUACAAUUACUUCUCUCCCUUUGUCUGCAUCUCUUUCGGAUUCAUUCUUAUUGUUCUCCCUCUUUUUCCCUCAUCACCAUUUCUCUCUAAAAUGUAUGUAAAUACUUAUACUACUUUAAGUCUUAUUAAGCUCAGACUGAAAGACCUUUUGUACUUAUGACUAAUACAAACACAAGGCCCAUAUUUCAUUUUUCUUACAUUAAAUAUCAGUGGUAUACUUUUUGUGAUAAUGUGGAACUGUAUUGGUAUAAGCUAUGUCAGUUUCAAUAAUUUAUUGAAAUAGUUACCGAUAAAAUCCCAUGGCCAUGUCUUAUAACAUGAUAGAUCCAUCCCCUGCCAACUGUCUUUUUUUUUUUUUUUUUUUUUGAAGAUUUCUUUUAAAAAUUGCUAAAUGCUUGGUCCUGACAGGAAACAUGUGCUACCAGAGGAUGGAA
rnacentral:lncRNA from 1 species